GGUCUCUGCUGGAAUCAGCUGGUAGAAGACGCCGCCGGCCGGGGCAGUCUCCCAGCGUAGGAUCGUUCCACACAAGAUCAUCUCUCAAGACAUCCCUGUACUGGUGGAAAACUCUACUAACACAGGAAAUAAGGAACUGCAUAUUUUAUUCACCGGGGAGUGCAGAGAUUAACAAAAUACAACGUGACAAGUAAUUGUCUUCCUACAGUACAUAAAGUUAUCAGAUCCGCAACACGUGCCAAUGGCUGGAAGAACUGACCAAUCAGAAUGGGCAUUUUACUAAUAAAACACCUGUAUUACUGAAGUGCAGGCUCGGACUGGCUGUCUGGUAGCGCCCCCUACAGUACAGAGAGCUGUCACCUCCACAUAUGGCUAGACAACAUCCCUUGGAGCCAGUUUGUCAGACUUCGCAGAAACUGUACACAGGAUGGGAAAUUUAAAAAGGAAGCUGGGGACCUACAGCAUAAAUUUGAAAAUAAAGGCUAUGACAAGGUGGAGAAGAAUUUGUAAAAAGGACCCUGUGCCUGUCCGGUAUGGGUAGAUGUAAAAAUGUAUAAAGAAUCCAGGAGAAUUCAUGCAGAACUACUUUCCAAAUAUUCAUGCUGGUGGAAUACAAACUAAACUCUUCAAUAUAUAACUGUGAUACAUACUAACACAUUUGGAGACUAUCAGGUUCCUUUGCAUGGUAUUCAUGAUUUUUAUGUUUUACAUUGCAUAAACAUUUAGUUAUGUUUAUCCGUGGCUAAAUGUCUACUCCAAUGGACUGGUUCUACAUAAUAUUUAGUGAGAAAUUAAAUUAAAACUGACUACCAGUUCACCCACAUUACCACAAUACACAGGGUUAUACUGCAGGUGAACCGGAUUAUAACAAAGUAUCACCUGGAUCCGCGGUCCCAUUGCCAGAGAUACCAGUUGUAUUAGCCUCCAUUGCUAGGCGGCUUUGUGCUUUGGAGGCAGGACCCGGCAUGCUGGGUAUG